ensembl:lncRNA
AGGAUGGGCUGGAGAAGACCGGAUGGCCGUAAUGAGGAACAGUUCCUCCAGAAGAAGGAUCACGCAGGUAGGGUGUGUGCAGACUGUCUGAUGUAUAUACGUACAGGUAGGGUGUGUGCAGACUGUCUGAUGUAUAUACGUACAGGUAGGGUGUGUGCAGACUGUCUGAUGUAUAUACGUACAGGUAGGGUGUGUGCAGAAUGUCUGAUGUAUAUACGUACAGGGUUUGUUUUCUGCUGUAUUGACCUGACAUCGACCUGCUUCACUGUUUGGCCAAAGUUUCACUUUGUUUCACUGAGACCUGGUGGAAGCUGUAUUGGUUCUUAAAGGCUUCUGAGACCCCUUUGUUUGAGUUCUAUGAAUUCGCUGGGAGGGGUUUCAGUGUGUUUGACGCUAGUUAAGCCAAACGCAAGCAACCAGAGAGCCUCAUUACCUUCUUCCCCUUUCUCUAAGCUCAGGAUCGUAAUGAAAGCAUUGUGGGGAAGGCAGAUCUCAC